rnacentral:rRNA from 1 species
CAGCCGCCGCGGGAAUACGUAGGUGGCAAGCGCUGUCCGGAAUUAUUGGGCGUAAAGGGAGCGCAGGCGGUUUAGUAAGUCUGGAGUUAAAGGCAUUGGCUCAACCAAUGUAUGCUUUGGAAACUGUUUGACUUGAGUGCAGAAGGGGAGAGUGGAAUUCCAUGUGUAGCGGAGAAAUGCGUAGAUAUAUGGAGGAACACCGGUGGCGAAAGCGGCUCUCUGGUCUGCCACUGACGCUGAGGCUCGAAAGCGUGGGUAGCGAACAGGAUUAGAUACCCCUGUAGUCCCUGUCUCUUAUACC